UUUUUUUUUUUUUCUUCUUGUCAUGAUUCCUCCAUCUUGCCUCCAUCACUGCCAGCCUUGGUGACAUCUGCGAAGUUUGAACAUUAUUGCCAGAUGUCCUACCUUCCAUUGCCCUUGUUACUUUAGCAAACCCUCUGCAUCUAGGUCUGGGCCCCUGAGGCCAUGAGCCUUAUAUUUAAGCUCCCUUGUUCAUAUGAGUUGCUAGCUUCCCAACACUGUCACUCAUUUAUUUUGUCAUACCCUACAUAGCAACUGCUCUGUUUGGGAUCAUCUACUAGGACUACAAAUACAUACGGUGACUGAGCAAGAAGGCUUCUUCGGCCCUACAAAGAUUGUAUCAGACUCAGGUAUGUCUUGUCAGAAUUGCUGGCUUAAGAGUUCCCAUUGUGGCUCUGUGGGUUAAAAACCUGACAUAGUGUCCCUGAGGAUGCAGGUUCAACCCUUGGCCUCACUCAGUGGGUUAAGAAUCCAGUGUCACCAUGGCUAUGGUGUAGGCUCAGCUGUAGCUCCAAUUCAAGAUUCAACCCCUAGCCUGGGAUAUGCAGUGGAUGCGGCUGUCGAAAAAAUUUUUUUAAUAAUGAAUGAAUAAAUAAAUACAUUAAUAAAAUUAGUUGCUUGUUUAGAAAUGAAAGUAGCAUCAAUGUUGUUGGGGCCCAUGCCAUUGACCUUGAGGGGCUAGGGGCUAGCUGGAAGUGGGUCAUCAUAGGAGAGUGUGCUUUUGUGAACCUUUAUUUGCAAAUGUGCUUUUAAAUCUUGAGCUCUAGCAACUGGGCAGAAAUAGCACUCCUGUUGUUUACAUGGCAGAGUCUGUGCUGGAAGAGAACAUUCCUCAGCCUUUCAUCAACAGGAAUCGAGCCUGUGUAGCUGGGAUUUGUAAGUGCACAGCCCAGCCUAACAAAUGCCUCGUCCAAAAUGACCCAGCAUUUCAGGCCCAAGAGGGACACAGCUGGCCUGUUACCACAGGGCUCUUAUUACUGUUGUCACCACCAUUAGCAUCUCAAAUUGACCAAUUAUCCACAGAGUGUAAGGCAUACAGUCAUACUCCUAUCUGGAAGCUUGUGACACAAGAACAUGCCUAGCAGGAGUGUGUUCUUGGGACCCACUUUUUCUGGCUAGAAAGACCUUAUGAAGGCAUGGGAACGUGUGCUGCAGUGAUUAAAGGGGUUCCUAGCGAUUUAUUGUCCAAAGGCCCCCAAUGGAUUUCAAGACCCUGAUAUUUUUGAAAAUUAGCAGCUGUGGCCUUUCCCGAGCCAGUGCCCAGCGUGAAGCUUUCAAUACUGUCACAAUGCUAUGCAUUUGCCACUUGGAUCAAUACCACGAAUUCCAUUAAGCUGUGCUCUCUCUGCAUUCUGCUUUCUUCCUAUCCCUGUGACCUCCUUUCCCUGCUUUCAUUUGCAAACCUCUGCAGGCCCUGUGCAAGGAACCUAUUAAGUGUCCUGAAUUAGGGAGGGUUUAUGCAAGUCUCACUUCCCUUUCCCUGCUAUGAGCUUGAGAAUCAGAGUGAAUGACACUAUAGGUCCACAGAAAUGAGCCUGCCUAUAAAGGAUCACUCUCUUUAAUAAAAAUAAACUGCUAAUGAUAGUAACUUGAUGAUGAUGUCCAGGAACUAACUUUAAACUCUUGCCUCCCCAUGUCCACCCUUGGGGACAAACCUGUAUAAUAUUUCUCACUUUAUCUUUUCUUCCAGAUUAUUGGUUCAUAGUCCACUUUCCCUCCCUCGCUUCCUCUAUCCCUUUCCUUCCUUCCUUCUUUCCUUCCUUCCUUCUUUUCUUCCUUCCUUAUUUCACAUAGUGUUUGUUCUUAAGGAAUGGGCAGUAAAGCCACAGUUGUUUUUAAUCUUUGGCUUGAAACUAUGAGGCAGGAAUUUCUGCUGUGGUGGUGUCUCUGAGAGCUGAGACCUCUUUCACCCUUAUAAAAUGAAAAUUUCCAAGAGAAACUAGAGGCCCUUUCAAGUGAGCUCACAAAACUGUUUUUCUAACAGGUUCGAUCCCUAGCCCAGCGUAGUGGGUUCAAGGAUCUGAUGUUGUGGCAGCUGUAGCACAGGUCGCAACUGCAGCUCAGAUCCUGGGAACCCCAUGUGCCAUAGGGUGGCCAAAAAAUAAAAUAAAAUACAUAAAUAAAUAAAUAAAACUUGAGGCAUUUCCCCAGAAAAAUUCAUCUGUAUACACAUGCAAACAUUUGCAUCGAAUUACAGGUAUCUUGGGGUUAAUAGAUGUACACUACUGCCUUUGGAAGGAAUUAGCAAUGAGAUCCUACUGUGAAGCACUGGGAACUAUGUCUAGUCACUUAUGACGGAGCAUGAUAAUGUGAGAAAAUAGAAUGUGUACACGUAUGUGUAACUGGGUAGGAAAAAAUGUAUUGGGGAAAUAACAAAAACAAACAAACAAACAAAAAGGAAAGUAUUACUGCUAACGAAAUAAAUAAAUAAAUAAAACCCCUAACAUGUCUGUCAGGGACUCCCUAAGGUAUCAAUGGGCUAAAGGAUAUAGAGGGAUCUAGAUCCUCUGUGGGAUCCUUAGCACCUCACAUUAAGGACAAGUCAUAUCCCUCUAGAAAAGAGGGAGUAGAAGAAACAAUUAUAUCUUUACCAGUUUAAACAAACAUUUACUAAAUACAAUUUAUAUACAGUCAAAUCCACCCUUUCUACAUUUCAAGCAUAACCAUCAUUAUAAAUAAGAUGUAAAAUAUUUCCAAGCCCUGAAAAUCCCCUUGCACUGCAUUGGAGUAAAUUAUCUCCCCUUACCUCCUGUCCCAGAUAAUAAUCUGAGUUCUCUUUCUCAAGUUAUCUUUUAUGGAAUGUCAUAUAAGUUAACCAAUACAAUAUGUAGCCUUUGGUGUUUGACUUAAAUCACUUAGCAUAAUGCUUUCAACUUAUAAAAUAUAUAAAAUAAAGUGAAAAUGUAAAAUAAAGUGAGAGUUGUUGGGGAGCAGGUCACCUUAGAUAGAUAUGGGGAGGGGAGAGUUUGAGGCUUAUCAUCACCUUCCCAUUAAGUAGCUGGUUCCUUAUUAACAAGAAUGCUACCUGAUAUAUUCAUAUAUGUGGCAGUAGUUUGUUACUUUUCACUACUGAGCAGUAUUUCAUUGUAUGGAUGUAUCACAACUUGUAAGCGUUUUAUUUCUUUGGUUAUGUGACUUACUUUUAUGCUGUGCAUUUCCAUCUAAGGAAACCAAGGCCCAGAGAAGCUGUGGUUUUCCAGAAGACCAUCCCAACUUCCCACGAGAGGAAGAAGAGAGACAGGGCCAGAAAGAGACCCCAGAGACCUGGCUUAGUGUGUGUGAUGGUAAGAAUGAAAUAUGGGCAGGGGAAUGGUUGUCCACAAGGGGCUCUCACAUGGGAAAAUGAGGCAGGAGGGAGAAUUACAGAAAAGACAACUGAAUGACACAGAUAAAGAAAUCUACCAUUAUCGGCCUUGAAAAGGCUCUCUGCUGAGUCCAGUUUGGGGCCCACGGAGAGUUUUAGAGAACC
rnacentral:lncRNA from 1 species